UAGGGAAUCUUCCGCAAUGGGCGAAAGCCUGACGGAGCAACGCCGCGUGAGUGAUGAAGGUCUUCGGAUCGUAAAACUCUGUUAUUAGGGAAGAACAAAUGUGUAAGUAACUAUGCACGUCUUGACGGUACCUAAUCAGAAAGCCACGGCUAACUACGUGCCAGCAGCCGCGGUAAUACGUAGGUGGCAAGCGUUAUCCGGAAUUAUUGGGCGUAAAGCGCGCGUAGGCGGUUUUUUAAGUCUGAUGUGAAAGCCCACGGCUCAACCGUGGAGGGGCAUUGGAAACUGGAAAACUUGAGUGCAGAAGAGGAAAGUGGAAUUCCAUGUGUAGCGGUGAAAUGCGCAAAGAUAUGGAGGAACACCAGUGGCGAAGGCGACUUUCUGGUCUGUAACUGACGCUGAUGUGCGAAAGCGUGGGGAUCAAACAGG
rnacentral:rRNA from 1 species